UGUAAGCGUAUACCAAAGUUGUUGCAGUUAAAACGCUCGUAGUCGGAUUUUGGCGUAAUCCUUCUCCUUGCCCUGAUUGGGUUUAGGUGGAAGGCGCGCCUUUGUGGAUGGAGUGGAAGUGUUUCUUAAUUGAUCCAUUCUGCUUCGCCACUGUUUACUGUGAAAAAAUUAGAGUGUUCAAAGCGAGCGAUUGCCAUGAAUACAUUAGCAUGGAAUAAUAGAAUAGGACUUAGUCCCGUUUUGUUGGUUUGUCGGUAUUAGGUAAUGAUUAAGAGGGACGGUCGGGGGCAUUUGUAUUCCAGGGUUAGAGGUGAAAUUCUUGGAUCCUUGGAAGACAAACAGCUGCGAAAGCGUCUGCCAAGGACGUUUUCAUUGAC
rnacentral:rRNA from 1 species